rnacentral:tRNA from 1 species
GCCCGGGUGGUGAAAUUGGUAGACACUGGGGACUUAAAAUCCCCUGCCGUAAGGCGUACGAGUUCGACUCUCGUCCCGGGCACCA